rnacentral:rRNA from 1 species
AUUGAACGCUGGCGGCAGGCCUAACACAUGCAAGUCGAACGAGUGGCGGACGGGUGAGUAAUGUCUGGGAAACUGACUGAUGGAGGGGGAUCACUACUGGAAACGGUAGCUAAUACCGCAUACCAUCGGAUGUGCCCAGGUGGGAUUAGCUAUUAGGUGGGGUAACGGCUCACCUAGGCGACGAUCCCUAGCUGGUCUGAGAGGAUGACCAGCCACACUGGAACCUAGACACGGGCCAGACUCCUACGGGAGGCAGCAGUGGGGAAUAUUGCACAAUGGGCGCAAGUCUGAUGCAGCCAUGCCGCGUGUAUGAAGAAGGCCUUCGGGUUGUAAAGUACUUUCAGCGGGGAGGCGUUACCCGCAGAAGAAGCACCGGCUAACUCCGUGCCAGCAGCCGCGGUAAUUC